GUACCUCCAUGAUACAUUUCUUUUCUUGGCGCCCCUCGGACAUCUGCCGCCCGGGACAAACUGUCCCUUUCGCCCCACCCUCUCGGCGGCACUGAUUUCCUGUAGGAUGCCUGUUAGAAAAACUGAAGAACUGAAAGAAGAAACUUUUAAACUUGAUGUUGGGAACUGUAGAAGUUACUGUUAUACAUAGUAUCAUAUCAAGGCUCCAGUUCUCUAUGCUUGUUAGUUAUAUGCAAGAUAUGGCAUAGUAUAGCACACUGCAUGUGUAAAAAUGGAUGAAAGCACUAAAGAAGCAAAACGAUACAAAUUAAAGAAGAAUUUUGUCAUGCGAUCACGGUUGCUAUAUGAGAACUACCGUAACAGAAUAUAUUUAUUGUCGAACAGUUUUGAAUCAAUUCAUUGUAUGAUGAUAGUUUUUUGUUGCUUAAAAAUAUUAUAAAAUUCAAA